UACGUAGGUGGCAAGCGAUACUCGGAAUCACUAGGCGUAAAGCGCAUGUAGGCGGUUUGGUAAGUCUUUUGUGAAAGCUCCCGGCUCAACUGGGGAGGGUCACGCGAUACUGAUCGACUCGAAGGCAGGAGAGGGUAGUGGAAUUCCCGGUGUAGUGGUGAAAUGCGUAGAUAUCAAGAGGAACACCUGAGGUGAAGACGGGUUGCUGGGCCAACACUGACGCUGAGGCGCGAAAGCCAGGGGAGCAAACGGG
rnacentral:rRNA from 1 species